UCUAUAACACAGGGGUGUUGGAUCGGCCAACUGAGAUUAAGAACCUUAAUUCUUUAACCCUAAUACCUGAACUGGGUAAUGCCAGCGUAGGAAGUUGUUUAUUAUUUUAUU
rnacentral:ncRNA from 2 species